rnacentral:tRNA from 1 species
GGGGCCGUAGCUCAGUUGGUAGAGCGUAUCGUUCGCAAUGAUAAGGCCAGGGGUUCGAUUCCCCUCGGCUCCACCA